ACGCCUAACACAUGCAAGUCGAACGAAGUAGCAAUACUUAGUGGCAGACGGGUGAGUAACAUGUAGGUAUCUACCCUUUGGCCUGGAAUAACACGAGGAAACUUGUGCUAAUACCGGAUAAGUCUUUACGGAGAAAGCUUUAUGCACCAUUGGAUGAGCCUGCACUUGAUUAGUUUGUUGGUGGGGUAAUGGCCUACCAAGACUGUGAUCAAUAGCUGAUUUGAGAGGAUGAUCAGCCACAUUGGGACUGAGACACGGCCCAAACUCCUACGGGAGGCAGCAGUGGGGAAUCUUGCACAAUGGAGGAAACUCUGAUGCAGCGAUGCCGCGUGAGUGAAGAAGGCCCUUGGGUUGUAAAGCUCUUUCGUCGGGGAAGAAAAUGACUGUACCCGAAUAAGAAGGUCCGGCUAACUUCGUGCCAGCAGCCGCGGUAAUACGAAGGGACCUAGCGUAGUUCGGAAUUACUGGGCUUAAAGAGUUCGUAGGUGGUUGAAAAAGUUGGUGGUGAAAUCCCAGAGCUUAACUCUGGAACUGCCAUCAAAACUUUUCAGCUAGAGUAUGAUAGAGGAAAGCAGAAUUUCUAGUGUAGAGGUGAAAUUCGUAGAUAUUAGAAAGAAUACCAAUUGCGAAGGCAGCUUUCUGGAUCAUUACUGACACUGAGGAACGAAAGCAUGGGUAGCGAAGAGGAUUAGAUACCCUCGUAGUCCAUGCCGUAAACGAUGUGUGUUAGACGUUGGAAAUUUAUUUUCAGUGUCGCAGCGAAAGCGAUAAACACACCGCCUGGGGAGUACGACCGC
rnacentral:rRNA from 1 species